ANGGCUGUGGCUUAACCAUAGUACGCUUUGGAAACUGUUUAACUUGAGUGCAGAAGGGGAGAGUGGAAUUCCAUGUGUAGCGGUGAAAUGCGUAGAUAUAUGGAGGANCACCGAUGGCGAAAGCGGCUCUNUGGUCUGUAACUGACGCUGAGGCUCGAAAGCGUGGGGAGCGAACAGGAUUAGAUACCCUGGUAGUCCACGCCGUAAACGAUGAGUGCUAGGUGUUAGGCCCUUUCCGGGGCUUAGUGCCGCAGCUAACGCAUUAAGCACUCCGCCUGGGGAGUACGACCGCAAGGUUGAAACUCAAAGGAAUUGACGGGGGCCCGCACAAGCGGUGGAGCAUGUGGUUUAAUUCGAAGCAACGCGAAGAACCUUACCAGGUCUUGACAUCCCGAUGCCCGCUCUAGAGAUAGAGUUUUACUUCGGUACAUCGGUGACAGGUGGUGCAUGGUUGUCGUCAGCUCGUGUCGUGAGAUGUUGGGUUAAGUCCCGCAACGAGCGCAACCCUUAUUGUUAGUUGCCAUCAUUUAGUUGGGCACUCUAGCUAGACUGCCGGUAAUAAACCGGAGGAAGGUGGGGAUGACGUCAAAUCAUCAUGCCCCUUAUGACCUGGGCUACACACGUGCUACAAUGGCUGGUACAACGAGUCGCAAGUCGGUGACGGCAAGCUAAUCUCUUAAAGCCAGUCUCAGUUCGGAUUGUAGGCUGCAACUCGCCUACAUGAAGUCGGAAUCGCUAGUAAUCGCGGAUCAGCACGCCGCGGUGAAUACGUUCCCGGGCCUUGUNCAC
rnacentral:rRNA from 1 species